GGGGCAUUAGCUCAGCUGGGAGAGCGUCGCGUUCGCAACGCGAAGGUCGGGGGUUCGAACCCCCUAUGCUCCA
rnacentral:tRNA from 1 species